UUUUUUUUUGUAUUUUUAGUAGAGACCAAGUUUCACCAUGUUGGCCAGGCUGGUCUCGAACUCCUGGCCUCAAGUGAUCACCCGUCUCUGCCUCUCAAAGUGCUGGGAUGACAGGCGUGAGCCACCACACCCAGCCACAGCUGCUAUUAAUCAUCCUCAUAAAGGUAGUUCCAAAUACAGGCUCUGGAUGGAGUGAUAGGAUGUCUCCUGUCUCCUAAAGCUGACAAUUUUUGUAUGGCUGAUUGAACAAGCACCCUGGAAAAUGACAGAUACCGCUUUCCCCAGGCUGAGCAGAUGAGCUCUGAGAUCAAUUUGAAUCUUGUACAACUCCGGCCUCACCAUUCCUCUGUUUCGUGGUAACCCUUAUGUGACCAUUCCUCCGAGGGAAACCAAGAGCGUGAUUCUGGAGAAGUUCGCCUGUGCUCCUUGAUACCUGAUUGUGCAAUUUCCUGCAGCCUGGAGACACCUCUUAGUAGGCGGAGAAACUGCGUGGAUUGCCGGAGAGCCGUAACGCCCUGGCUGCAGAAGCCCUGUCAUUGGAGCUGUCGUCGUCGUCUCCCCACAGCGAGAAAGCUUUUGCAAGUUUCAUCUCAUCAUUGAGAAAGCUUUCAGAGACUUCAAAGAAAGUAUUUGGUGCUGAGCUUUUCCCUUCCACCCAGUGAACAAUGUGCCCACAGUGCUUGUAACAAAACAGUCUGUGGCUGGUGCCGUUCAGAUCCCAACUUGGUGUAAAAGCCGUGCCUCGGAGGAAACGUAACUGAGUUUUAAAUAGUCCCCUCUUUUUUUUUUUUUGGUUUUUGGUUUUGUCGUUUAUUGUGUAGUAAAAGUCUACAACUGUUUAGUGAUUUUGUUGUUUGGUAAUUAUCAUAUUAUGCCAUAAGCUUUUUCAUAAUCAGUGAGCUAUAAAGAUGACACUGUAUCCAAUAGAAACUAAGCUUCCUAAAAAAAAAAUCUGACCAAC